rnacentral:rRNA from 1 species
UACGUAGGGUGCAAGCGUUAAUCGGAAUUACUGGGCGUAAAGCGUGCGCAGGCGGUUAUGUAAGACAGGUGUGAAAUCCCCGGGCUUAACCUGGGAACUGCAUUUGUGACUGCAUAGCUAGAGUACGGUAGAGGGGGAUGGGAAUUCCGCGUGUAGCAGUGAAAUGCGUAGAUAUGCGGAGGAACACCGAUGGCGAAGGCAAUCCCCUGGACCUGUAC